rfam:Myotis lucifugus cont2.56628, whole genome shotgun sequence.
GCUGGUGUGGCUCAGUAGAUAGAGCGUCAGUCCAUGCACUGAAGGGUGCUGGGUUCGAUUCCAGUCAAGGGCA